rnacentral:rRNA from 1 species
AUGAACGCUAGCUACAGGCUUAACACAUGCAAGUCGAGGGGAAGCGACAUCGAAAGCUUGCUUUUGAUGGGCGUCGACCGGCGCACGGGUGAGUAACGCGUAUCCAACCUGCCCACCACUUGGGGAUAACCUUGCGAAAGUAAGACUAAUACCCAAUGAUAUCUCUAGAAGACAUCUGAAAGAGAUUAAAGAUUUAUCGGUGAUGGAUGGGGAUGCGUCUGAUUAGCUUGUUGGCGGGGUAACGGCCCACCAAGGCUACGAUCAGUAGGGGUUCUGAGAGGAAGGUCCCCCACAUUGGAACUGAGACACGGUCCAAACUCCUACGGGAGGCAGCAGUGAGGAAUAUUGGUCAAUGGACGAGAGUCUGAACCAGCCAAGUAGCGUGCAGGAUGACGGCCCUAUGGAUUGUAAACUGCUUUUAUAAGGGAAUAAAGUGAGUCUCGUGAGGCUUUUUGCAUGUACCUUAUGAAUAAGGACCGGCUAAUUCCGUGCCAGCAGCCGCGGUAAUACGGAAGGUCCGGGCGUUAUCCGGAUUUAUUGGGUUUAAAGGGAGCGUAGGCCGGAGAUUAAGCGUGUUGUGAAAUGUAGAUGCUCAACAUCUGCACUGCAGCGCGAACUGGUUUCCUUGAGUACGCACAAAGUGGGCGGAAUUCGUGGUGUAGCGGUGAAAUGCUUAGAUAUCACGAAGAACUCCGAUUGCGAAGGCAGCUCACUGGAGCGCAACUGACGCUGAAGCUCGAAAGUGCGGGUAUCGAACAGGAUUAGAUACCCUGGUAGUCCGCACGGUAAACGAUGGAUGCCCGCUGUUGGUCUGAAUAGGUCAGCGGCCAAGCGAAAGCAUUAAGCAUCCCACCUGGGGAGUACGCCGGCAACGGUGCAAAAAAGAGGAAUUGACGG